GAAGAGCAAAGAGGACUCACUUUGGCUUGGAUGACAUUUAUGGCCUGCAAGCAGCUCAUGGAUAGGAAAAGGCAGCAUGCUGUUCUCUGUAGGAUGUACAAUCUGAAACAAUUUUAUCAGAAAUACUAGAUAGAAAUCUUUAUAAGCUGGAGUUCAACAACUGGGUGGUUUUAUCUUAGAGGCAAAAGAACUAAAAAACAAACCCACUACUUUUAAAAUCUGCCAUAUGCACAGUAACUUGCAGUUAAUAAUUAAAUUCUCACAAUAUCCUUUCACAGUUCCAGGCAGACCAUAUUGGCUCAGGUUGGCCUGGUUGUCGAGUGUGAACUGAAAUGAUUUCUAACAGCUAUCAAAUACAUUUUGAAAUAUGCACAUAAAAAUCCUAGCUCAGAGGCUCAAAGCAAUAAUGAUUCAUGUAUUGGCAAAUGAACCUGUCCUCUGCAAGCUAGCCCCUGAAAUGUAAUAAGGGGUCAGUCCAAGGAAAUAAAAAAAGUGUGUUUAUUAAGAUGUAGAGAGGUAAUAUUUUGGGAUGGGAGUUUGUGGUGACAUAUUCAACAUCUAGUGAUUGAGGUAUUGGGCUGGCCUCCAGAAGUCAGUCUUUGUCAAGGGUGCCUUUAUCAAAUCUAUAUCCAUGGAGGGAUUUAGGCAAUGUACUUGCCAGAAUUCUUCUGUCCCUUGGUGGUACCCAAGGGAAGCUCUUUGCCCCCAGUAUAAGCAAGACCAGGACACAGAAAAGGUGAGAACAGCUGUCUUGUAUCUCCUGUGCUGUGAAGAUGCUCAGGAAAGGGCUGUGUAUGAGACCUGGGAGAUUUCAGAUAAAUAACACAACUGCCUUCUGCUACCACUUCUGGACAUGUCCAAAUACACUCUGAAGAGAUUAUGAAUUAAAAAAAAAAUUAGUAAUAAUCUCCCCUGGAGCCUAAUGGCAUGAGCAGUGGCUAGACACUGCUUUUCUUGCUUGUUUUGAGCAUGAAACAGGGGCCAGAUUCUCUCUCCCCAUGAAUGCUCAUUACCUGGGACUCAGAAGGGCUCACAGGGCUGGGACUUUGACUUGGUGAGCCACAGAAAUCUGGGGACACAGGCAGCCCCUGGGUUAGGCUCUACCACCAUUUAUUCCUGUGCUCUCACACAGAGCACCAUCAGUAAGAAAAUGGGAGAAAGAGAGGAGCAGCAGUGUGGAGGAAAAAUCAGUAAGGACUCAGGUAUUUUAUGGGAGCAGAACAGCCUUAAAUAAAUAUCUGCACAGAACCCCACUCCUUGCAUCUGAGAUGCUGGUCCAUUUUAUCCCACUGGUUUUAAUUUGUGGCCUGAGGCUGCUCAGCUAAGUGGCAUUUAGUGACUCAGGGAUGAAGGGGACAGCAGUGCAGCCUGCAGACUCCUGAGAGCCGUGACCUUUCCCAGCACCGUGUAGAAAAGCUGCCGAUCUCACGAAGAAUGAACAAAUCUGGGUGCCGCGGGCAGAAACCGGCACUGCCACCAUCUGCAGAAGUGUCACUUCAUUAACCCCAGGAGUUCAGUGUUUGCUCAAGUACAAAGGCUGCUGGCAAUAUGGGAAGGUGAAUGUCCAGGACACCAGGAUGCCCAGAUGCCAUUGAGACAAAAUAUGUGUGAGUAUAAUAUGAAAAACAACAUCUUUGCCAGGCUGAUAGUGGAAUGAGACAGACAUCCCUGAUUCAAGCUCU